rnacentral:rRNA from 1 species
GGUGAGUAACACGUAUCCAACCUGCCCUUUACUCGGGGAUAGCCUUUCGAAAGAAAGAUUAAUACCCGAUAGCAUAAUGAUUCCGCAUGGUUUCAUUAUUAAAGGAUUCCGGUAAAGGAUGGGGAUGCGUUCCAUUAGAUAGUAGGCGGGGUAACGGCCCACCUAGUCAACGAUGGAUAGGGGUUCUGAGAGGAAGGUCCCCCACAUUGGAACUGAGACACGGUCCAAACUCCUACGGGAGGCAGCAGUGAGGAAUAUUGGUCAAUGGGCGAUAGCCUGAACCAGCCAAGUAGCGUGAAGGAUGACUGCCCUAUGGGUUGUAAACUUCUUUUAUAAAGGAAUAAAGUCGGGUAUGCAUACCCGUUUGCAUGUACUUUAUGAAUAAGGAUCGGCUAACUCCGUGCCAGCAGCCGCGGUAAUACGGAGGAUCCGAGCGUUAUCCGGAUUUAUUGGGUUUAAAGGGAGCGUAGAUGGAUGUUUAAGUCAGUUGUGAAAGUUUGCGGCUCAACCGUAAAAUUGCAGUUGAUACUGGAUGUCUUGAGUGCAGUUGAGGCAGGCGGAAUUCGUGGUGUAGCGGUGAAAUGCUUAGAUAUCACGAAGA